rnacentral:ncRNA from 1 species
UUUCCCUCAGGACAGCUGGCGCUCGAGCUUCAGUCUCCCGAUCCGAGUCGAGUUCGGUAGCGAAUGAUUAGAGGUCUUGGAGCCGAAACGACCUCAAUCGACUCUCAAAGUUCAAAUGUAUGAAAAGUCCGGCUUGCAUGACUGAAGCCCGGACAAUUGCAUGAGAGUGCCCAGUGAGCCACUUUUGGUAAGCAGAACUGACGCUGUGGAAUGAACCA